CGUACCGGGAAAAUCUUAUCUGAUUCAGGAUCAAUUCAUCGGUUACACUCCCCUGUCACCAGUGAUCCUUUUUGCUGACAUUCUGAAAAAGUAUUGUGUAGUCCCUGUGGCAAGAACAUUAAAGAUAAAGGGGAAACUAUAAACAGAAGAAAUUAUCAACAAAAUAAGAUUUACAGAGGUCAACAAAGCCUAAAUGGUCAGACAUCUCGAUUUUCAUAGUCAUCAUUCACAGAUCAAUACUGAACGGAAAACUUAAAGCUGAUAUUUUUCUCUAUAGUGCGACUUUUUUAUUAAUUUGAAAUGGAAUGUGUUUUUUCCUACAUUUAUUUGAAAGAGGAAAUUUCAACAUGAGGACUAUAAACACAAAGGAGUCAUAUCAUCACGAUCAUUGAUGCACAAGAACUUGAUCAUAGAAAUACAACAAUGUAAUUAUCAAUUGAAAGAUGGAACGAAUGAACAAAAUAUUAGAAUGUUGUUGUCCAAAUAA